UACGUAGGGUGCGAGCGUUAAUCGGAAUUACUGGGCGUAAAGCGUGCGCAGGCGGUUCGUUAUGUCCGUUGUGAAAGCCCCGGGCUCAACCUGGGAAUGGCAGUGGAAACUAGGGGACUGGAAUCUGGCAGAGGGGGGUGGAAUGCCGCGUGUAGCAGUGAAAUGCGUAGAGAUGCGGCGGAACACCGAUGGCGAAGGCAGCCCCCUGGACUGAGAUUGACGCUCAGGCACGAAAGCGUGGGGAGCAAACAGG
rnacentral:rRNA from 1 species